GAAGAACGAAAUUAUUCAAUCGUUUUAGUUAAAUAUUUUCACAAGCAAUGUGAUUAAUUAAAGGUGUACUAUUACACCCGUAUUACUAAAGAUUUCGCGUUAAUAAAGCCUUCAAAAUGAGAUUGUUAAAUAUUUUGGGUUCCAGUGUGUUUCAAAUCCUUUCGAUUGUGUUUGUUUUGGGUUAUCUUCUCGGUGUUUUGAACUUGUAUUUUAGUGACAAAAAUAAUUAUUGUAUUAUGACUUACAUGUUUGAGUAUCCACAAUUUGUGCGAUUAUCUGUUCCGGAGAAUAAGAUUAAUCCGCAAUAUGCAUUGUACGCAUAUAGUGAAGGAAGAUUCACUGAGAGAGCCAGAAAAAUGUGGUUUGAUGGUGUCCCAGUCUUAUUUCUGCCUGGGAACUCCGGCAGCCAUAUGCAAGUUAGAUCACUAGCAUCUGUGGCGCUAAGGAAGGCUCUAGCAAAAGGAUACCAACACCAUUUCGAUUUCUUUA